GACGAACGCUGGCGGCGUGCUUAACACAUGCAAGUCGAACGGAAAGGCCCUGCUUUUGUGGGGUGCUCGAGUGGCGAACGGGUGAGUAACACGUGAGUAACCUGCCCUUGACUUUGGGAUAACUUCAGGAAACUGGGGCUAAUACCGGAUAGGAGCUCCUGCUGCAUGGUGGGGGUUGGAAAGUUUCGGCGGUUGGGGAUGGACUCGCGGCUUAUCAGCUUGUUGGUGGGGUAGUGGCUUACCAAGGCUUUGACGGGUAGCCGGCCUGAGAGGGUGACCGGCCACAUUGGGACUGCGAUACGGCCCAGACUCCUACGGGAGGCAGCAGUGGGGAAUAUUGCACAAUGGGCGCGAGCCUGAUGCGGCAACGCCGCGUGCGGGAUGACGGCCUUCGGGUUGUAAACCGCUUUCGCCUGUGACGAAGCGUGAGUGACGGUAAUGGGUAAAGAAGCACCGGCUAACUACGUG
rnacentral:rRNA from 1 species